rnacentral:rRNA from 1 species
GACGAACGCUGGCGGCGUGCCUAACACAUGCAAGUCGAGCGGAGAUAUAUGGAAGGUUUACCGGAAAUAUAUCUUAGCGGCGGACGGGUGAGUAACGCGUGGGCAACCUGCCUCAUACAGGGGGAUAACACAGGGAAACUUGUGCUAAUACCGCAUGAAAUCAUAGUAUGGCAUCAUACAAUGAUCAAAGGAGCAAUCCGGUAUGAGAUGGGCCCGCGUCCGAUUAGCUAGUUGGUGAGGUAACGGCUCACCAAGGCGACGAUCGGUAGCCGAACUGAGAGGUUGAUCGGCCACAUUGGGACUGAGACACGGCCCAGACUCCUACGGGAGGCAGCAGUGGGGAAUAUUGCGCAAUGGGGGAAACCCUGACGCAGCAACGCCGCGUGAAGGAGAAGGCCUUCGGGUUGUAAACUUCUUUCGUAUUAGGGGACGAUAAUGACGGUACCCUAAAACAAGACCACGGCUAACUACGUAGCCAGCAGCCGCGGUAAUCAUACUCGUACG